GGGCAGCAAUGUCACUGUCGUACGGGUGCGUAACGCGUAUGCAACCUACCUAUCACUGGGGGAUAGCCCGGGGAAACCCGGAUUAAUACCGCAUAAUACAGGGGGCCCACAUGGGUCUAUUUGUUAAAGAUUUAUCGGUGGUAGAUGGGCAUGCGUUCGAUUAGCUAGUUGGCGGGGUAACGGCCCACCAAGGCGACGAUCGAUAGGGGAGCUGAGAGGUUGAUCCCCCACACGGGCACUGAGAUACGGGCCCGACUCCUACGGGAGGCAGCAGUAGGGAAUAUUGGGCAAUGGAUGCAAGUCUGACCCAGCCAUGCCGCGUGCCGGAUGAAGGCCCUCAGGGUUGUAAACGGCUUUUAUUCGGGAAGAAGAUCAGGGAUGCGUCCUUGUGUGACGGUACCGAAUGAAUAAGCACCGGCUAACUCCGUGC
rnacentral:rRNA from 1 species